GAUGAACGCUGGCGGCGUGCCUAAUACAUGCAAGUCGAACGCAUUGAGAAAAGUGCUUGCACUUUUCAAUUUGAGUGGCGAACGGGUGAGUAACACGUGGGCAACCUACCUGAUAGCGGGGGAUAACGAGUGGAAACAUUCGCUAAUACCGCAUAACAAUAGAGAAGGCAUCUUCUUUAUUUAAAAGGCGCUUUCAAGCGUCACUAUCAGAUGGGCCCGCGGUGCAUUAGUUAGUGGGUGGGGUGAAGGCCUACCAAGACGAUGAUGCAUAGCCGAGUUGGCAGACUGACCGGCAACAUUGGGACUGAGACACGGCCCAAACUCCUACGGGAGGCUGCAGUAGGGAAUCUUCCACAAUGGACGAAAGUCUGAUGGGGCAACGCCGCGUGUGUGAUGAAGGCUUUCGGGUCGUAAAGCACUGUUGUAUGGGAAGAAAUGCUAGGCUAGGAAAUGAGCUUAGUUUGACGGUACCAUACCAGAAAGGGACGGCUAAAUACGUGCCAGCCGCCGCAGUAA
rnacentral:rRNA from 1 species